rnacentral:rRNA from 1 species
GACGAACGCUGGCGGCGUGCCUAAUACAUGCAAGUCGAGCGCAGGAAACUGACGGAACUCUUCGGAGGGAAGGCAGUGGAAUGAGCGGCGGACGGGUGAGUAACACGUAAGGAACCUGCCUCAAGGAUUGGGAUGACUCCGAGAAAUCGGAGCUAAUACCGGAUAGUUCAUCGGACCGCAUGGUCCGUUGAUGAAAGGCGCUCCGGCGUCACCUUGAGAUGGCCUUGCGGUGCAUUAGCUAGUUGGUGGGGUAACGGCCCACCAAGGCGACGAUGCAUAGCCGACCUGAGAGGGUGAUCGGCCACACUGGGACUGAGACACGGCCCAGACUCCUACGGGAGGCAGCAGUAGGGAAUCUUCCACAAUGGACGAAAGUCUGAUGGAGCAACGCCGCGUGAGUGAUGAAGGGUUUCGGAUCGUAAAACUCUGUUGUAAGGGAAGAACACGUACGAGAGGGAAUGCUCGUACCUUGACGGUACCUUACGAGAAAGCCACGGCUAACUACGUGCCAGCCGCCGCAGUAAUAC